GGGGGCAACUCCGUGAGUAAAGCGGCGCACGGGUGAGUAACACGUAGGUAACCUACCUUCGAGACCGGGAUAACCUUCCGAAAGGAGGGCUAAUACCGGAUGAGACCACGGGGUCACGGCCCUGAGGUCAAAGGUGGCCUCUGCUCGCAAGCUACCACUCGAAGAUGGGCCUGCGUACCAUUAGCUAGUUGGUGAGGUAACGGCUCACCAAGGCGAAGAUGGUUAGCUGGUCUGAGAGGAUGAUCAGCCACACUGGGACUGAGACACGGCCCAGACUCCUACGGGAGGCAGCAGUGGGGAAUCUUGGACAAUGGGGGAAACCCUGAUCCAGCGACGCCGCGUGGGUGAUGAAGGCCUUCGGGUCGUAAAGCCCUGUCGGGGGGGAAGAAACUCUCGCCGGUAAACAAUCGGCGGGAUUGACGGUACCCCCUAAGGAAGCACCGGCUAACUCCGUGCCAGCAGCCGCCGUAAGACGGAGGGUGCAAGCGUUGUUCGGAAUUACUGGGCGUAAAGGGCGCGUAGGCGGUCCGCUAAGUUCGGUGUGAAAUCCCCCGGCUCACCUGGGGAAUUGCGUCGGAAACUGACGGACUAGAGUACCGGAGAGGAAGGCGGAAUUCCUGGUGUAGCGGUGAAAUGCGUAGAUAUCAGGAGGAACACCGGUGGCGAAGGCGGCCUUCUGGACGGAUACUGACGCUGAGGCGCGAAAGCGUGGGGAUCAAACAGGAUUAGAUACCCUGGUAGUCCACGCUGUAAACGAUGGGAACUAGGUGUGGGGGGUAUUGACCCUCCCGUGCCGUCGCUAACGCAC
rnacentral:rRNA from 1 species